AUGCCCAAAAGAAAGACUGACGGUGAUGCGAAAGGAGAUAAAGCAAAGGUGAAGGACGAGUCACAGAGAAGAUGCGCCAGGUGGUCUACGAAACCUGCUCCUCCAAAGCCAGAGCCCAAGCCUAAAAAAGCCCCUACAAAGCAGGGAGAGAAGGUACCCAGAGGGAACAAGGGGAAAGCUGAUGCUGGCCAGGAUGGGAAUAACCCUGCAGAAAAUGGAGAUGCCAAAACAGACCAGGCACAGACAGCUGAAGGAGCCGGGGAUGCCAAGUGA